UGAAAUCUGGCUUUCGGGCCCGAGUUGUAAUUUGUAGAGGAUGAUUUUGAUGCGGUGCCUUCCGAGUUCCCUGGAACGGGACGCCAUAGAGGGUGAGAGCCCCGUCUGGUUGGAUGCCAAAUCUCUGUAAAUCUCCUUCGACGAGUCGAGUAGUUUGGGAAUGCUGCUCUAAAUGGGAGGUAUAUGUCUUCUAAAGCUAAAUACCGGCCAGAGACCGAUAGCGCACAAGUAGAGUGAUCGAAAGAUGAAAAGCACUUUGAAAAGAGAGUUAAAAAGUACGUGAAAUUGUUGAAAGGGAAGCGUUUAUGACCAGACUUGGGCUUGGUUAAUCAUCUGGGGUUCUCCCCAGUGCACUUUUCCAGUCCAGGCCAGCAUCAGUUUUCGCCGGGGGAUAAAGGCUUCGGGAAUGUGGCUCCCCUCGGGGAGUGUUAUAGCCCGUUGUGUAAUACCCUGGUGGGGACUGAGGUUCGCGCUUCUGCAAGGAU
rnacentral:rRNA from 1 species